rnacentral:rRNA from 1 species
CCUACGGGAGGCAGCAGUAAGGAAUAUUGGUCAAUGGGCGCAAGCCUGAACCAGCCAUGCCGCGUGCAGGAAGACGGCCCUAUGGGUUGUAAACUGCUUUUGAACAAGAGAAAACCUCGGUACGUGUACCGAGCUGAUAGUAUUGUUAGAAUAAGCAUCGGCUAACUUCGUGCCAGCAGCCGCGGUAAGACGAAGGAUGCAAGCGUUAUCCGGAUUCAUUGGGUUUAAAGGGUGCGUAGGCGGCCUGAUAAGUCAGUGGUGAAAUCUCUCAGCUUAACUGAGAAACUGCCAUUGAUACUGUCGGGCUUGAGUACAGAUGAUGUGGGCGGAAUAUGACAUGUAGUGGUGAAAUACUUAGAUAUGUCAUAGAACACCGAUUGCGAAGGCAGCUCACAAAACUGUAACUGACGCUGAGGCACGAAAGUGCGGGGAUCAAACAGGAUUAGAUACCCUGGUAGUCCGCACCGUAAACGAUGAUUACUCGUUGUUGGCAAUAUGACCGUCAGCGACCAAGCGAAAGCGAUAAGAAUCCACCUGGGGAGUACGCCGGCAACGGUGAAACUCAAAGGAAUUGACGGCNGAGAGNGCGAGGCGACGACGAGGGAGAGG